CACGUAGGGUGCGAGCGUUGUCCGGAAUUAUUGGGCGUAAAGAGCUCGUAGGCGGUGUGUCGCGUCGGCCGUGAAAACCUGCAGCUUAACUGUGGGCUUGCGGUCGAUACGGGCAUCACUGGAGUUCGGCAGGGGAGACUGGAAUUCCUGGUGUAGCGGUGAAAUGCGCAGAUAUCGGGAAGAACACCGGUGGCGAAGGCGGCUCGCUGGGCCAUUGCUGACGCUGAGGCGCGAAAGCGUGGGGAGCAAACAGG
rnacentral:rRNA from 1 species